rnacentral:rRNA from 1 species
CUCUUCGGGGAUGAUUAAACCGGCGCACGGGUGAGUAACACGUGAGUGACCUGCCUUUUAGACUGGAACAACUUACCGAAAGGUGAGCUAAUGCCGGAUGAGUUAUAUAAGUGCAUGUUUAUAUAGGAAAAGUUGGGGAGACCUGACGCUGAAAGAUGGACUCGCGUCCCAUUAGCUAGUUGGUAGGGUAAUGGCCUACCAAGGCGACGAUGGGUAGCCGGCCUGAGAGGGUGGCCGGCCACACUGGGACUGAGACACGGCCCAGACUCCUACGGGAGGCAGCAGUGGGGAAUUUUGCGCAAUGCUCGUAAGAGUGACGCAGCGACGCCGCGUGAAUGACGAAGGCCUUCGGGUCGUAAAGUUCUUUCGACAGGGAAGAAAAUGCCUAUAAGUAACUGUGUAUGUAUUGACGGUACCUGUAUAAGCAGCCCCGGCUAACUCCGUGCCAGCAGCCGCGGUAAUACGGAGGGGGCGAGCGUUGUUCGGAGUGACUGGGCGUAAAGAGCACGUAGGCGGUGUUGUAAGUCAUUAGUCAAAGACUAGAGCUCAACUUUAGUAAGGCUAGUGAUACUAUAAUACUAGAGUAUCAGAGAGGAUUGCAGAAUUCCUGGUGUAGCGGUGAAAUGCGUAGAUAUCAGGAGGAAUACCGUUAGCGAAGGCGGCAAUCUGGCUGGA